AACGAACGCUGGCGGCAGGCUUAACACAUGCAAGUCGAACGCAUCGCAAGAUGAGUGGCAGACGGGUGAGUAACGCGUGGGAACAUACCCUUUUCUACGGAAUAGCUCUGGGAAACUGGAAUUAAUACCGUAUACGCCCUACGGGGGAAAGAUUUAUCGGGGAAGGAUUGGCCCGCGUUGGAUUAGCUAGUUGGUUGGGUACAGGCCUACCAAGGCGACGAUCCAUAGCUGGUCUGAGAGGAUGAUCAGCCACAUUGGGACUGAGACACGGCCCAAACUCCUACGGGAGGCAGCAGUGGGGAAUAUUGGACAAUGGGCGCAAGCCUGAUCCAGCCAUGCCGCGUGAGUGAUGAAGGCCUUAGGGUUGUAAAGCUCUUUCACCGAUGAAGAUAAUGACGGUAGUCGGAGAAGAAGCCCCGGCUAACUUCGUGCCAGCCGCCGCCGUAACAC
rnacentral:rRNA from 1 species